rnacentral:rRNA from 1 species
GACGAACGCUGGCGGCGUGCUUAACACAUGCAAGUCGAACGGAAAGGCCCUGCUUUUGUGGGGUGCUCGAGUGGCGAACGGGUGAGUAUCACGUGAGUAACCUGCCCUUGACUUUCGGAUAACUUCAGGAAACUGGGGCUAAUACCGGAUAGGAGCUCCUGCUGCAUGGUGGGGGUUGGAAAGUUUCGGCGGUUGGGGAUGGACUCGCGGCUUAUCAGCUUGUUGGUGGGGUAGUUGCUUACCAAGGCUUUGACGGGUAGCCGGCCUGAGAGGGUGGCCGGGGUCAAUGGGACUGAGAGAGGGCCCAGAAUCGAACGGGAGGCAGCAGGGGGGAAUAUUGCACAAUGGGCGGAAGUCUGAUGCAGAAACGCCGCGUGCGGGAUGACGUCCUUCGGGUUGUAAACCGCUUUCGCCUGUGACGAAGCGUGAGUGACGGUAAUGGGUAAAGAAGCACCGGCUAACUACGUG